rnacentral:rRNA from 1 species
GACGAACGCUGGCGGCGUGCUUAACACAUGCAAGUCGAACGAUGAAGCCGGAGCUUGCUCUGGUGAGUUAGUGGCGAACGGGUGAGUAACACGUGAGUAACCUGCCCUUGACUCUGGGAUAACUGCGGGAAACUGUAGCUAAUAACGGAUACGACACUCGGAGGCAUCUCAUGGGGGUGGAAAGAAUUUCGGUCCAGGAUGGACUCGCGGCCUGUCAGCUAGUUGGUGAGGUAAAGGCUCACCAAGGCGACGACGGGUAGCCGGCCUGAGAGGGUGAACGGCCACACUGGGACUGAGACACGGGCCAGACUCAUACGUGAGGCAGCAGUGGGGAAUAUUGCACAAUGGGAGCAAGCCUGAUGCAGCAACGCCGCGUGAGGGAUGACGGCCUUCGGGUUGUAAACCUCUUUUAGUAGGGAAGAAGCGAAAGUGACGGUACCUGCAGAAAAAGCACCGGCUAACUACGUGCCAGCAGCCGCGGUAA